rnacentral:lncRNA from 1 species
GAAUCACAUAUUAUUUAGAUUGGAUCAAUGGAUAGAAUAUGUAGAAUUAACUAUGACCAAAAAAAAAAAAAAAAAAAUUCAACUAAACCAAUUAUAGGAUAGUUUGGGGUGGUUGAGCUGUUGUGGGGAGACAUUGAGAUAGAUGUGGAUUCCAUGUGUGUUAAAUUUUGUGUGGAUUGCUUAAGACCAAUGAGAUGAUAAUUAGGUGAAAAUCUUAAGUUAAAGAUCGAUUUUCGAGAAUAAGUGUUUAAUGAGGGGCAUUGCACUAAUCAUUGCAUAGAAGGGAAAAAGCUGCCAUGUUGUGAAGCUACCCUAAAAGAGCCCGAUGAGGACAAUUAUAUACAUAAAAAGAGAUAGGCUAGUGCAUGAAAUAGAAUACGCACGGCAAACUUGAAAAAAGCAGGUGCAUGAAACAGAAGACGCACUACAUACCUUGAUUGAGUCCCAAACACUUAUUUUAGAGAAUUAGACCUUUGAUAAGGGAUUAGUAGCUUAGUUGAUUCUUGGAGGUUGAAUCAGUCAAAAUUAAGGAGAAUCCUCAUUUAUUGAUGUGUUGAGCUACAAUUAGUAAAAUCUAACCAAACUAGAGAUGGUGAGUAAUAGUAUAAAUCACACCUUGGGAAAAUAGUUAGAAAAUCAAGUUUGAGGGUGUGCAUUCCACGAGAGAAGAGAGAAAUAAUUGACCAUUGAGGGUCGGGAUGAGUCCAAUUUGAAAAAAGUGUGUGAUUGAACUGAUUAUGCACACACACACAUUGGUCGAGCAUUGGACAAGUUAGACUAUGUUUUGGUAGCAAACCUUAGAAGAAUUUUGAUAAGCAAUUUCAAAUCCUAAGGCAAAUGGGACAAGCUAUUUCAUUGGAACUAUUUUUGAAUUUUUAUUGCUAGAGACUAGCAAUAUCUUGGUUGGGGAGUGUGAUUAGUGUCUAAAACUGCUUCAAAGAUAUAUCAUUUACAAGGCAUUUUACAUUCACUUUGUUUAAAAACGCUAAUGUUAGUCUCUAAUUCCAAUUCUCAUGCCGUAAAUUCAAUUUCCAUAAAUACAUGGUUAAAAAUGCAAUUAAUUGAAAUACGUAUUUACAUACAUGGUGGCAUGAGUAUUAUACAUUUGAAAGAGUAUCUAUUUGAUGUAUUUCACAUGUAUUUUCAAUUUAUUACAAGUGGAGCAAGUGGAGGAAAAUAAUGUUGAAAAGUCAAAAAUAG